rnacentral:rRNA from 1 species
AUUGAACGCUGGCGGCAGGCUUAACACAUGCAAGUCGAGCGGAGAUGAGGUGCUUGCACCUUAUCUUAGCGGCGGACGGGUGAGUAAUGCUUAGGAAUCUGCCUAUUAGUGGGGGACAACAUUCCGAAAGGAAUGCUAAUACCGCAUACGUCCUACGGGAGAAAGCAGGGGAUCUUCGGACCUUGCGCUAAUAGAUGAGCCUAAGUCAGAUUAGCUAGUUGGUGGGGUAAAGGCCUACCAAGGCGACGAUGUGUAGCGGGUCUGAGAGGAUGAUCCGCCACACUGGGACUGAGACACGGCCCAGACUCCUACGGGAGGCAGCAGUGAGGAAUAUUGGACAAUGGGCGAAAGCCUGAUCCAGCCAUGCCGCGUGUGUGAAGAAGGCCUUUUGGUUGUAAAGCACUUUAAGCGAGGAGGAGGCUACCGAGAUUAAUACUCUUGGAUAGUGGACGUUACUCGCAGAAUAAGCACCGGCUAACUCUGUGCCAGCCGCCGCGGUAACAC